rnacentral:misc_RNA from 1 species
GGGCAGGGGCAAACAAGGCGGUGGUGGCUGGUGGCGAGGCGCAGCCCACGUCAGUCAGGCAAGUGGAGGCGGAGAGUGUAGAGGCGGAUCGCUCGGGUCACGCUCACUCUUCUCUCACAGUCACGCGCUCUUCCUGGCUCUCUCUUCUGUCAUUCUGGAAUUAUUGUUCUUCGCAAAAACUUCUACCAAACAUCUAAGGCUGGAACAUAUACAUUUCUUUUCUGAAACAGGAGUGUUGUUAAAGUAUCCAAGUGGUGGUGUGUUCGCUAAACUUGUCUAGCGUGGAGGUGUGCGAGGUGACAUCCAUGACGCUGCCCUGCCCUGUGUUCCCUGCAGGUGAAGGAAAGAGUUGAAAAGUUAACCGCUGAAGAUUUUCAAGUGACUCUAAAACCUUCUUGAGUCGAUAUUGAAACAUUUCACUGUUCAAACUCAAAGUGGUGUGAGGUGCCUACGUGUUUAGUCCUUGACCCGGUGUACAGUGACAAUGGAAGCCCAAACGGCUGCACUUGUCGAGGAGGCGCCCUCCAUCAACCACUCCACUCCUAGCGUGGAGGAUGACAGCGGCUCCCAGGGAGAUGUCGCUCGCCUCAUCCACUACCCGAGGUCCGCCACAAUCUUUGCUGCUAUUGCCAGCAUCCUCUUCAUAAUCGUCGGAAUCUUGGGUAACUUCGUCACCAUCGUUGCCCUUAGUAGAAAUCGGAAACUGCGACUCCACGCCACCACAGCCUUCGUCAUCAGCCUCUGUGUUUCUGACCUUCUCUUCUGCUCCAUUAACCUGCCACUCACCGCCUCCAGGUACAUCCACGAGUCAUGGGUGCUCGGCGACGCCCUCUGCAGUGUGUUCCCGUUCUUCUUUUAUGGGAAUGUGGCCACGUCGCUUCUCAACAUGGUAGCCAUCACUGUGAACAGGUAUAUUCUCAUCGCGCAUCACAGCCUCUAUGACCGGGUGUACCGCCAGCACUUCAUAUACCUCAUGAUCGCCUUCAUCUGGCUCUUCUCCUUCGGUAUGAUGGUCCCGCCGCUCCUCGGGAUCUGGGGGCAGCUUGGCCUCGAUCCCCCAACCUUCUCGUGCACCAUCCUCAAGAGAAAUGGUUCCUCGCCCAAGAAGUUCCUGUUCCUCUUUGGUUUCCUGCUCCCUAUGAUUGCUAUUAUUGUCUGUUACUCGGCCAUUUAUUACAAGGUGAAGCAGUCGCGGCGUAACGUGGCAGCUCACACCAACAACUGCGGGCCGAUGUCCUCUUCCACGUCAGCCCUCACCCGCAAGGAGGACAUGCGCCUCACCAGGAUGAUGCUCACCAUCUUCCUUUGCUUCCUGGUCUCCUUCCUGCCCCUCAUGAUCGUUAACGUCGCUGAUGAUGACGUUCGGGUGCCAUCCCUCCACGUGCUGGCCUCUGUACUCGCCUGGGCCUCCGCCGUCGUCAACCCCUUCGUGUACGCUGUCACUAAUCGCCAGUAUCGCAAGGCCUAUCGGAUGUUAUUUUGUGGCCAUCGGAGUAAGCCAGGACGAUCAUCAAAUUCCCACUCGAAAAGCAACUCCUCGCGGACCUUUGUCACCGAGUUCCAAUACCAUGCGUCCACCGGCCACGUCACCAGCCCCGUCCUUAUCCCCAACCCUACGGCAGACGCUUGAGCUGAUGCCGCUGUCCACCACCCACAAAAGCAUCUCGCCCUUCACCCGCCGCCAGAAGUCUCCCGUUCGCCCACUCUCCAUUGUCUUCCUAGAAUCUCCAAAAGCUCCAAGACGCACAUUCUCUCCCAGCCCUGCCGCUCGAAGGUCACCAACCUUGUCGAACUCCUUUGCAACUGAAUCCAAGUCACACUCUUCUCCACCGUCUGACUUCAAGCCGCCACCGCCGCCUGCUCUCACCACUGAGUCUUCUCCCUCUUCUUCCUCCUCCUCCUCGUCCAGUUCCUGCAGCUCCAGGGCUUCCUCUCCUUCUCCUUUGCCCGCACGUCACAGAUCUAAAAUCUUCACUCCUUGCAUGGACAUUACCUCUCUGCAUGAUGAAUCUCGUACCGCUUGAAACUCACCAGCAAGUACUUCAUGGAGGCUCCUGCUGGAUGCUGAGGAUUGAGGACUGAAUAGGAGAGGCAUUCGAGAGAGUGAGGUGUGAAAGGUGACGGAAACAGCCAUCCCUUCACAGUAAUUCCUCCACCACUCCCUCACAACAGUGCCUUCCCCUUCCAUGAUGGUGUUCCUGGGUGGUGAAAGGAGAGCUGCAAAGAGUCUGGUCUGUGUGGCCCUCGGGUUGAAUUCUAUAGGUAGUAAACAUUAAAUAAAUUCAAUAAAAGGUAAGGUUAGGCAAAAUGGUUUCGAUUAGUGGUGUGUUGUAGGUGGUAGUAAUAGUGGUAGUGAUCUUAGCUGGUUUUGUAGAAAUAUCACCAUUCUAAUGUGCAUUUUUCCUCCUUUUUUUAGUGGAUGUAUAGUACGGUGCAGUGGAUGUUGAUAGAAUCUCAUUAACUGAAAUAAUACUUGAGGUGCUCUGGUGUGUGUGUGUGUGUGUGUGUGUGUGUGUGUGUGUGUGUGUGUGUGUGUGUGUGUGUGUGUGUGUGUGUGUGUGUCUCUGUGUGUCCUAUCGCCUUAAUUAAAGUACCGUACAUACAUUCAUCCAUUUAGCCUUUAUUCCUCAUCCAAGUGAGGGCUGCACAAUACAGCCGCACAGCCGGGGGAAUCUGUCCUCGAGAGAGAAGAUUAAGAUAGUACAACGACAGAUAAACGAGUCCGAUGUCUGGUGAGAAGAAAUAUGGAAAAAAAAAAACUGUUUACAUUUCUACGUACACGAACAAUGGACAGUGUUUUCUUUCCUUUCGGUGUCUGUGCGUUCAUCGAUACUCAUUGUGCUUUUGCUUACGUAGCUAAAAGAUGCGUAAAUAAAGAAAAACAAGUCCCUCACACGACGCGACUUAAUGAUUUGUAUACUGUGUGUGUGUGUGUGUGUGUGUGUGUGUGUGUGUGUGUGUGUGUGUGUGUGUGUGUGUGUGUGUGUGUGUGUCAGAUACUCUCCCAGUAUUACCGUAGCUUUAGCAGUGAUUGCCAGUGUUUGCCUCUCAAGUGGAGGCGUCUCAGGCUAAGUGUUGAUGAGCGAGCCUGCAGGUCUGGUGGCGGGGAGCUGGUGAGUGGCGGCAGGAGGGAGGCCCGUGUUCUGAAAUGCUUUACUCUCGCCAUGACUAUUUUCUAAGGCCGAGUUCUCAAAAGUACUAAUUAAAAGUGUUAAUAAUGUAGUAAUCUUAACAAUGUACCACUAUAACUGUUAAAACACCCUUAAAAUCCUGUGUAAAUUCAACUAGAACCUUUGAAAGUAGUGGAGAUGCAGCGCAGAGGUGUUUCAGAGAUGAGGUGGCGAGGUUCCGUUCAGUGUUCUUUCCCAUCCCUGCCCUUCUCUUCCUCUUCCCCAUCUGCCAGAGUCUGCUAGGUUGCUGGGUUAACAUUUUGUCAAUUAUGAUUAAGAUAAAGCCUAUUUAUAUUUAGAUAUUUUCUUACAUAAUUUAAUCAAAGGCUGAUGAGGAGGAACGUGCCAUACUCGUAGUUAUAUAUUAAGAGAGUGUGCCUUGUAUAGUGAGUUUGCGGCAGAGUACCUCAGUCUAGCUUACUCUGUCUGAAGGUUAAGAGUUCUAGGUGGAUAACGCUGUGUAGAAAAGCUUGUUGUUUUUAGAAAAUUACUUACCCGGAUUGCAAGCCAAGACGGGGCGCAGUGCUAUUUUUUUUUCUUUUCUUUUUUUUUUUUUUCUUUGUAGCCAUGGUUCUGUUAUGGAUUUCACUACAUUUAUUUAUGUCGCGAUUAUUAUUGUCACUGCUGUUUUCAUUUAAUACAUUAUUGCCGAGCAUGUCGUAACUAUGUAUUUAUUGCUUAAAGAUUCGUUUUCUUUUCUUUCUUUUCUCUUACUAAGGUCUUUGUGACAAGAUCAUCACAAAUACUACGCAAUGACUCAUGGUGAUAGCUCAUCAUACUGACCGCUGCAAUGAAAAGGUGUCAAAGUUGGUUAGUAUUUUGUGCGUGGGGAUCAUUACUCUGGGGUGUGGAGGGGCAAGGAAUGGGAUGAGGGUCGCGCACUCUGGCACACCCAUCCCCUGCACACAUCCCUCCAGGGCAAACUAACGCCCAAGACCCGGUGCUCAGGACGCCACUUGUCACUGUCAUCAAGGGUUCCCAUCAGGGUUUCUUCAGUGUGGUAAUGACUGGCUUGUUAUCGCAGGCCGGUCCAAUGACGCACUUACACCAACAUCCUCGAGUUUGCCUUCAUCAUCUUUAUCAAAUUUAGUUUUAUCUGAAAAAAUAAAGUUGUAAAUAUAUUAUGUAAUAGAAGUAUGUAGUUUUAUAAUAUAUAUUAGAACAAUGCCAUAUUAGAUACUGUAAUUAGUGUCAAAAUGCACUUUAGCUGUCCUGUAAAGUCUUAAUAUUUAUUCACUAAGGUUUAAAAAAUAUCGCAUUGAAAUUAUGGAAUUUAUUAUCAUGAUAUUUCUUAGCUUCCUUCUUUCCACUGUUUAUACUUAGGCUACCUAGAAUAUAAGAAAUAGCAAUAGACCUUUAUGACAAUUUGAAAAGAUUCUGCAAUAUUUUAUUUAGACAUCAACAUUUCAUUCCGGUCAUUCCAUACAAAAUAAAUAACUCCUAGAA